AACGGAAUGCAAAUGCCUGAAAGAGUCAAGCCAACACUGUGUGGAACAGAGAAGAACCAUUCCAGCUAAGCCCAGCCCUAGUUUGCUAGCCCACUGAAGAGUAGAUACUCCUGACCAUCACAGAGAUGCUUACAGCAUCCACAAAUUGCAAUUGUGAACUCCUGCUGAGAAUGACCAGGUCUGGGUUCAACGUCUUUGCCUCCUUUUCUACACAUUGCAUAAGGUUCCCCUCCAACACAUCUCCCAUUAGCAUGGAUUGCAAAAGCUUCAGGCAGCAGUGAGUCAACCAUAGCUGCACCUGGGGAACAGAGAAAAAAAAAUACCACUGCCCUGACCCCAUUCCAAAAGGACUGAAUCAGACUCUCUAAUCAGGGGCUUGGCUAAUAACCAUAGUUAAGGGAAAUAAAGUAAUUCUGGUGCAACUUGACUUGAGAAUCAGUUGUACUUCCAUCUGGCUGCAUAGUAGAAUCAUGUGGGGAACACGCCAAUAUCUAGGCCAUACCCAAAAACAAAGCUAUCAGAUUCUCUGGGACUGAGGCUUCUGCAGUCAUCAUUUAUAAAUAAAACAAAAAUCUUCAGAUGAUUCUAAUCUGCAGCUAAAGUAAGCAACAAAGAGCUGUUCGUUGUGCAAAAA
rnacentral:lncRNA from 1 species